AACAGGGCACACUGUAUUCUCAAAGCCUACUCUAUCCCUGAUGCGUGGUACCGGCACUGGUGACGCCGGGCUGAGGACAAGCACAUCAGGAUUAGUAGGGGGAGAAUAUACAGUGUGUACAGGGCUCUGGAGACGCACUGGUAGCUUAGUGCGUGGGCCCGGAACUGGAGGCACCGGGCUAAAUACACGCACCACAGGGAGAGUGCGUGGAGGAGGAACAGGGCUCAGGAUACGCACUGGUAGCCUAGUGCAUAGUGUAGACACUGUAGGUACUAGGCUGGGGCGGGGAGGUGGUGCCGGAAAUACCGGACCGUGGAGGCGUACUGGCACUCUUGAGCAUUGAACCUGCCCAACCUUACCUGGUUGAAUGCUCCCGGUUGCCCGACCAGUGCGGGGAGGUGGAAUAACCCGCACCGGCCUAUGUAGGCGAACCGGGGAAACCAUGCGUAAGGCAGGUGCCAUGUAUGCCGGCCCGAGGAGACGCACUGGAGACCAGACGCGUUGAGCCGGCCUCAUGACACCUGGCUCAAUGCCCAAUCUAGCCCUCCCAGUGCGGGGAGGUGGAAUAACCCGCACCGGGCUAUGCACUCGUACAGGAGACACCGUGCGCUCUACUGCGUAACACGGCGCCUGCCCGUACUCCCGCUCUCCACGGUAAGCCCGGGAAGUGGGCGCAGGUCUCCUACCUGCCCUUGGCCCACUACCCUUUAGCCCCCCCCCAAGAAAUUUUUGGGAGUUACUCACGGGCUUUUUCGGCUUCCGUGCCAGACGCGUUCCCUCACAGCUCCGGUUCCUCUCUCCGGUAGCCUCUGCUCUCCGCAGUGCCUCCAGCUGUUCCCAUGGGAGGCGAUCUCUACCAGCUAGGAUCUCCUCCCAUGUGUAAACACCCUUUCCAUCCAACACAUCGUCCCAUGUCCAUUGCUCCUUCUUCUCCUGUCCCUUUCUCCUUUGACUCCGCUGCUUGGCUCUGGGUUGGUGGGUGAUUCUGUUAGAGCUGUCGCUCUCCUCAUCCUCAGAUGAGGUGAGGAGAGAAGGAUCUUCUGACCAAAAUGCGGAGUCUGGGAAAUAUGCCAUCUUUAUUAUAAAUUAUAAUGAUGUAGAUGGCAACACGAAAACUAAACAAAAACAAAACACUUUCAAAAGAACAAAAUAAGAAAACGACGUACAACGGAACCUGAACAUAAACUUACAUGGACAAACGUAAACUUACGAACAGGAACGAACAUCAAAACGAACGAACAGCAAAACAGCUCCAAAUGUGAAAAAACAUCGACAACACGAUAGACAUCACAGGAGACAAUCACCCACAAACACACAGUGAUAAUGCCCUACCUAAAUAUGACUCUUGAUUAGAGGAAAAUGCAAACCACCUGCCUCUAAUCAAGAGCCAUACCAGGCACACCGAAACCAACAUAGAAACAGAUAACAUAGACUGCCCACCCAAAACACAUGCCCUGACCAUAAACACAUAAAAAACAACAUAAAACAGGUCAGGACUGUUACAUUUUUACGUCAUAGAUCAUCAAUUUUGAAAGCAUGGGCUAUUUUGUUGAAUAGUUUUUUUGACAAGGUUAUGACAUGCCCAUACGUUGUUAUUUUAUAUUUUACAAUUCCAUUGCAACCUAAAUUCACUAGCCUUGAUGGUUUUAUCAAAUGUCUGCCAUGGCACCGUAGACCACUGAGUUCCCCUCAGUGACUUUCAAUCUCUGUCUCUCUCUGUCGUCUUUUGUGCAAAGCCUAUAGGUUAGUGGUAACGCUCUCAGCAAGUCACAUUAUAUUUGCAUCUUCCACCCUUCCUACUGUGCUCCCACUUUCAUCUCCCCCCUCUGUUUCCAGGUGUCUGAAUAAAGUGUACAAUUUCAAAAAUGCCUCUAUCCCUCUCCCUUUUCUUUACCUUUACAGCUGACCAGACGGCUUCCGCCAUUCAUUGAGGCUAAGACCCGCAUUUAAAAGCUUUUCAGGGACUUCUGGCUGUCCUAUGUGGUCAUGGGCUCUGACGUGGAGGGCUCGGGUCUAUGGCCAGAGAAGUGUGUGAGAUCGCCACCAAGUCUCCUCUCCUGACUUUUCCCUGCGGUGAACCACUCAGCUCUGAACUACAGUAAAACUCUGCCCCGAAGAACGAUAGUCACACCGGUACACACAAAACAGACACACACACAAAGAACAACACCGUCAGGUGGUCAAGUCAACUAACCUAAAUAAUGCCACCUGUAUCUUUAUUGGAACUCUACCUGUCCCCAUCAUUUACUUAGUUGUCCCUCUUCCUGUAAGUAUCUACUACCUGUCUGUCGUGCAGGCUGAUCUGUGAUCCACCAUCAUCAAUCUGUCGGACCCCUCCCCUGAAGAAUCUGCUCUCAUCAACAAACUAGACUUUGCCAUCUCGACAUACCUACUGUCUGUCUACAGGCUGGAGUACAUGAGGUGUGCUACCCGCUAUAGAUCUAUAUCUGCUGCUGCUGCUCUAUUACCCAUGUCCAUUUACAUACUGUCUGUAUACAGACCAGGGCCCAUAUGUAUCAAGCGUCUCAGAAUAGGAAUGCUGAUAUGGGAUCAGUUUGGGCUUUUGGAUCAUUAUACACAUUGAUUGUAUGGAAAAGCAAGGACUUGAGCCUAGAUCAGCACUCUCACAGUGAGACGCUUUAUACAUACAGCCUCAGAUCACAUGAGGUUGGAGCAGACCCUAUUUAUCCUCUCCUGGUUUAUAUUCCCCAACAUUAGGGGACUCAUAUUAGUCUCUUUCUCUCUGGUUCUGUCUCAGGAUGUUGCGUUCUAACGACGCAGACAUUUUUCCAGGUGAUGUUCCGCUCCUUUGAAAACAAAACCAUCCAGAAGGACAAAUCUGGUGGGCGUAAUGUUGUAUCUGCGUUGUAAUAUUGGUUGUAUUUAUGUAUUUUUUUGUUUCUGAUUCAACGUUUCAUCAUGUAUGAUGCAGUGUGUGAUCUGUGUCAGUGAUAAAAUCUUCGAUGUCUUCCUCCAAAUGAUGGCUGAGAAGGUAGGUGUGCUCUUAAUCACACAUGUUGCUUUGGUUAUGCUUUAUUUUACCUCCAUGUUUAAAGUGGUAUUUACAUGGUAUUUACUAAGAAAUUAUGUGCUAACAAUUGAUACUUUCUGGUACUUACCUCAAACAAUUCAACACCAUUGGUAACACGUACCAAAUGGUACAAACCUACGCUUGUGUCAAUGAAUCUCAAAGAAACUACAUUUUCAUUGAAUUGCAAUUUAAUAUGCAAAACUCUCUCAGUCCAAGACAAAAGAACAUGAGGAGAAGUUGGAACCCCACACCCAGUUCCUAUUGGUCAACUUUAACCACACCCACAAGAGGAUCCGCCGAGUGGCCGAUAAAUACCUCUCUGGAUUGGCUGAAAUGCCUGUGAGAUUGAACGGUUGACUACAUGGUACAGCCCACUGUCCACGCCGGAGUUGGCCAUCACUACAGAACAGUCCGUAGAGACCAGCAUCGCCAACUGGAGGUCCAAGUACAUCAGCCUGAGUCAGAAACAAUGGAAAGACCAUAUCAACCUGGCCUGGAGUAUAGCUCCUUAUUUGGCCCUGAAGCUGCCUGUAAGGUUUAAGAACACUGAGGCCAUUGUAGCGGAGGUGACUUGUCUGGUGUGUUUGGACCUAGCAGCUGUGUGUGACGUACCUGAGGACGUCAAGGAUGCCAUCUUGUUCUUCACUCCUCAAAUAGUUCAAGCCCUCCGCUAUCACAAGAUGGGCUAUGUGAGGGAGUACAUCCUGUGGGCGGCUCAAAGUCUCAGCGGCUUUGUCACCAGUUAAUCUGGAACAUGAAGACCAACAUCUACCUAGACGAGGAGGGACACCAGAAAGACCCUGACAAAGGGGAAUAAUUCUAACAGAUGGUCGAGGUGCUCUAACCGGUGCUCUCACUGGUGCUCUAACCGGUCCCGCUAAAGAUUUUUACCAGAGAGAGUUUGACUUCUUCAAUAAGAUCACCAACGUAUCUGCCAUCAUCAAGCCCAUCCCUAAGGGAGACGAGAGGAAGAGAGCCUGUCUGAGGGCUCUGUCGGACAUCCAGGUCCAGCCAGGCUGUUACCUACCCAGUAAUGCAGAGGCCAUAGUACUGGACAUAGACUACACGUCUGGGACUCCAAUGCAGAGUGCUGCCAAAGCUCCGGACCUGGCCAAAGUCAAUAGGUAUGGAGUCAGUGAGUUGGAGAAAGAAGGUCUGCAGCGUAGGUCAGACUCCCUGGACAGUGAGGCUGACGGUGAGGAGGAGGUCUAGAGUAUCUGCUGGCAGGCAGCCAUCUUUAAAGUGGGCAACGACUGCAGACAGUACCCCCCCUUCUAGGAGCGGCUCCAGCCGCGGAGCCAGGGCGACCACCACGUAGUUGGUUGAAGUCCCGAACAAGUUCCGGAUCCAGGAUGUCUCGGGCAGACACCCACGCCCGCUCUUUGGGACCGUAGCCCUCCCAGUCCAUCAGGUAGUGCAGGGUUCCUUGGACCCGACGAGCCUCCAACAGAUGCCGGACAGUGUAGGCUGGGCGACCAUCAACAAGUCGAGGGGGCGGAGGGGCAGGUAUAGGGGAGAGAAGGGACUGGUCCUUACCAGCUUGAGACGGGAGACAUUGAAGGAUGGACAGACCCUCAUACACCUGGGAAGCUGGAAACGAUAGAUGACCGGGUUGAUGCGUCUCAGGAUCUUGAAUGGUCUUAUGUACAGUGGUUCUUCCUUUAAAAGUUACGUCGUACUGUAGCACAGCUUGCGGGCUGCCGCAGAAUUCUAUGGCAUGUUCUUUUGUUACCAAAUCACCUUAUACCACCCACUACUGCGACCUGUAUGCUCUAGUCGGCUGGCCCUCGCUACAUAUUCAUCGCCAGACCCACUGGCUCCAGGUCAUCUAUAAGUCUAUGCUAGGUAAAGCUCCACCUUAUCUCAGCUCACUGGUCACGAUAACAACACCCACCCGUAGCACACGUUCCAACAGGUAUAUCUCACUGAUCAUCCCCAAAGCCAACACCUCAUUUGGCCGCCUUUCCUUCCAGUUCUCUGCUGCCAGUGACUGGAACAAAUUGCAAAAAUUGCUGAAGUUGGAGACUUUUAUUUCCCUCACCAACUUUAAACAUCAACUAUCUGAGCAGCUAACCGAUCGCUGCAUCUGUACAUAGUCCAUCUGUAAAUAGACCACCCAAUCUACCUACCUCAUCCCCAUACUGUUUUUAUUUUAUUUACUUUUCUGCUCUUUUGCACACCAGUAUCUCUACUUGCACAUCAUCAUCUGCUCAUUUAUCACUCAAGUGUUAAUCUGCUAAAUUGUAAUUAUUCGCUCCUAUGGCCUAUUUAUUGCCUACCUCCUCAUGCCUUUUGCACACACUGUAUAUAGACUUUCUUUUCUCUACUGUGUCAUUGACUUGUUUAUUGUGUUAUUGGCUUGUUUAUUGUUUUACUCCAUGUGUAACUCUGUUGUUGUCUGUGUCACACUGCUUUGCUUUAUCUUGGCCAGGUCGCAGUUGCAAAUGAGAACUUGUUCUCAACUAGCCUACCUGGUUAAAUAUAGGUGAAAUAAAAAAAUGAAAUAAAAAAUGUAAGUGUCAGCUGUUGUUGCCAUUAAUGCUAGUUAGUGCUAGUUUAACCACCAGAGGGCAUCUUUGAGAAGCGUUUGACUGUUUUUAAUAUUGGCUGUACUAGAGAAUUUAAAACCUUUUUUGUAAGAACAUAGUAUAUGGGAUUGAUUCAUUUGAUUAAUAUUAUGGUGUUUUUCCACAUUUCCACACCCUAAUUGUAGGCUAAACAAUACCCAAAUGGAGCUGCGCGAAACGGUG